AUUAUCCCAUGUCUAUUGUACUUCAUCAGGUGCUCUGGUAAUUGUGGAACCCGGCACAUGUUGAAGUACAUUCAAUGUGUGGAUAAU
rnacentral:pre_miRNA from 1 species